rnacentral:rRNA from 1 species
AGUAACGCGUGAGUAACCUGCCUUCAAGAGGGGGAUAACAUUCUNAAAAGAAUGCUAAUACCGCAUGACAUAUCAGAAUCACAUGAUUUUGAUAUCAAAGAUUUUAUCGCUUGAAGAUGGACUCGCGUCCGAUUAGUUAGUUGGUGAGGUAACGGCUCACCAAGACCGCGAUCGGUAGCCGGACUGAGAGGUUGAACGGCCACAUUGGGACUGAGACACGGCCCAGACUCCUACGGGAGGCAGCAUG